GGAAGAGCGAUGUCCCCGGUGGGGCACCUGGUCUUCAAAACCAGUGAGGCGCAUCUGUGUGCCUGGUGGGUUCGACUCCUACCUCUUCCGCCA
rnacentral:tRNA from 1 species